rnacentral:lncRNA from 1 species
AGAAGUGCAUCUCACCCUCUAAAGGUCAGGCGCAUUCUGGGAGCACUGUCCUUGGCAGACAUCAGUAGAAAACAGCCCAGAAACAGAAGUGUAGAUAAGAGAUGUGUCCCAGGGCUGACGCAAUACAAAUUUCAAGGCUGUGGAACCAGGAGAAGGUCUGAGGAACGGAGCUCCCGGAAGUAAAGGCAUUGCCUCACAUUUGAGUGCAUGAGGAGAAGUAAGGAAGAUUCUAUCACACUCUUGCUGUCAAUGGUUACAAGCCAUAGCUCAGAACACCUGGCAACAGUACUUAAGGAAGGAAAGGUUUGCACUGGCCCGCAGUCUGAAGGAGGACAGAGGACACAAGGCAAUGAGAGCAGCUCUAGGUGUAGCCGUGGGAGCCCGAUAUAGCUGGACGCGCUGCAUCUGAAGCAUGACUUCAGGAUUUGUGGUCAGAAGCACGAGGUGGAGAAGUCCUGAUACAAUCUUUGUACUGUACGGUUGCCGUCUGGACUUCAUUGACUAUCCCGGAGCGAUCCAGCACAAGUGACAAGUGAAGACCUUGGCUGUGUUUCAGAAGCACAAUUACAACUCUUGGGGUAAAGAGCCUCAGCGACAAGGCCCAGGAAAGCAGGUGUAUUGAGAAUUAGAGGUAGUCACAGGGGAUGAAACAUAAAAUCAACGUGCCAGAGGUUGACCUGGGCUCUUCCACCCUCACUGUGAUCUUCAGUUUCGCUGCGUGCACUCAAGGCACAAACCUGGGAUUUGAGAUUUCAAGCUGUGUCUGUAAACUUAUUUUCAGAGACUCGGAGCGGGCCCCAGAGGAGAGGUAGGGAGUGGUCCUGGCAGCUGUUGGAUGAAGCAGGUUGGAAGGGCCUUGAGAGCAGAGGUCUGUUGUUUAACAUCAUCUUCGAGUGUACCCUAGCACGGCGGUCUCGGCUGGAGAGAUUUUCUGUGUGCUGAACUUAGAUGGAUAUGUCAAAGUGUACUCAAGCUUUCUUGAACUUUUUCCCCAUCUGAAAUCACUAAAAAUGUGCAGUAUUUCAAAAAGCCCAAGUUUGCCUCCAAAUAUGCUUGUGAAAUGUAUUUCAACACACAUAUCCAACAGUAAGAACAUGCUGGCCAUAUCAAUCCUCACAGCAACUCUUUAUUGCAGCAUAUUGAGGUUUAAUCAGGAAACAGGUUAGAGCUUCUAUGUACAGGUUUUCUUCUAGUUUGAGGUUUUCCUGAAAUAUGUGACACAGACUCGUUAUACAAAUGGCCACUAGUAAAUUAUUUCCAGCAUGUGUUACUCUGUCAACAGUGAUGCUUUCACAGAACCUUUGUCCUCCACAAUUCCCCCCCUCCAUUUAAACCAGGACAUUUCCAUCUCAGUGAGCCACUGCUGUAUUUGGGACCUAAGCGAGAAGCUGGAUAAACAGAGGCGCUAUUAUUAUUGUUACUGUCAAUAUAGUUUCCUUCCCUAGUUAUAACUGAUUAUUUCCUUUUUUCCAUUUCAAAACAUUUUUGUUCAAAUGCUUCUGAUGGCUCUCGUCACAAGCAAUAUUCCUUCGGAAAUAAUGCACCUUUUUAAUUUCUCAACCUAAAAUACACAGCCCGUCAUCUCCAUAGUAGGAUGAUGCUGUUAGAGAGAUCAGCUGUGUCUAGUUGGAGAAUUUUUAGGGGAAUAAGGGAUUACAGGAGCGAGUGCUUCCUCUAUUAGUUCGUGCAAAGUGAAGACAAGAAAGAAAGUCUGUAGGAUGUAAGAGGUGAUGUUACUCCAGCAAGAGUUGGGCAUUUGGAAACACAUGGAGUUAAAAGCAGUUUUCACUUAAUGUGCUUUGUUGUUUCUGCUACAAUAAAAAUAAAUAAUAAAAAUUCUGUUUUGCUUCUUUAUAAUA